GACGAACGCUGGCGGCGUGCCUAAUACAUGCAAGUUGAGCGCUGAAGGUUGGUACUUGUACCGACUGGAUGAGCAGCGAACGGGUGAGUAACGCGUGGGGAAUCUGCCUUUGAGCGGGGGACAACAUUUGGAAACGAAUGCUAAUACCGCAUAAAAACUUUAAACACAAGUUUUAAGUUUGAAAGAUGCAAUUGCAUCACUCAAAGAUGAUCCCGCGUUGUAUUAGCUAGUUGGUGAGGUAAAGGCUCACCAAGGCGAUGAUACAUAGCCGACCUGAGAGGGUGAUCGGCCACAUUGGGACUGAGACACGGCCCAAACGUCUACGGGAGGCAGCAGUAGGGAAUCUUCGGAAAUGGACGAAAGUCUGACCGAGCAACGCCGCGUGAGUGAAGAAGGUUUUCGGAUCGUAAAACUCUGUUGGUAGAGAAGAACGUUGGUGAGAGUGGAAAGCUCAUCAAGUGACGGUAACUACCCAGAAAGGGACGGCUAACUACGUG
rnacentral:rRNA from 1 species